AUUGAACGCUGGCGGAAUGCUUAACACAUGCAAGUCGAGCGGGGUGUAGCAAUACACCUAGCGGCGGACGGGUGAGGAAUACAUAGGAAUCUGCCUCAGAGCGGGGGAGUAGCCCGGGGAAACCCGGAUUAAUACCGCAUGAUGUCGCAAGACCAAAGUAGGGGGACCGGCAAGGCCCACACUCUGAGAUGAGCCUACGUCCGAUUAGCUAGUUGGCGGGGUAAGUAGCCCACCAAGGCGACGAUCGGUAGCUGGUCUGAGAGGACGGAUCAGCCACACCGGAACUGAGACACGGUCCGGAC
rnacentral:rRNA from 1 species